AACGAACGCUGGCGGCGGGGCUUAGGCAUGCAAGUCGAGCGAGAAAGCCGCAAGGCAAGUACAGCGGCGUAAGGGUGAGUAAUAGGUAGUCAACGUAUCCAUGAGACGCGAAUAAUUUUCCGAAAGGGAUUGUAAUGCGCGAUGAGACCACGCUUCCUUCGGGGAGAGGGGUCAAAGGUCGGGGAUUCUUCGGAACCUGGCGCUGAUGGAGCGGACGACCUCCGAUUAGCUAGAUGGCGGGGUAACGGCCCACCAUGGCUGUGAUCGGUAGCCGGCCUGAGAGGGUGUUCGGCCACACUGGGACUGAGACACUGCCCAGACUCCUACGGGAGGCUGCAGUCGCGAAUCAUUCACAAUGGGCGCAAGCCUGAUGAUGCCACGCCGCGUGCGGGAUGAAGGCCCUCUGGGUUGUAAACCGCUGUCAAGAGGGAGGAAACGCAUGGUGUUAACAGCGCCAUG
rnacentral:rRNA from 1 species